GCCUUGGUGGUGGAAUGGUAGACACAGCAGACUUAAAAUCUGCCGAUCGCAAGAUCAUGGGAGUUCGACUCUCCCCCGAGGCA
rnacentral:tRNA from 1 species